GCCAGGCAUGGUGGCGCAUGCCUGUAAUCCCAGCUACUCAGGAGGCUGAGGUGGAAGAAUCGCUUGAACCCAGCGAGCAGUGUUUGCAGUGAGCUGAGAUUGUGCCACUGCACUCCAGCCUGGGCAACAGAGCGAGACUCCAUCUCAA
rnacentral:sRNA from 1 species